GACAGAUGAAAUCAGUGGGUUUACGAGACAAGGCACAAAGGUACUUAGAAGGUACAAGUUGUGUUGUGGAGACUUAACCUAACCUAACCUACCCUAGGUUGAAUGAUAGAAUUCUUUCUAUCAAUUUAACUAAAACUGGUCUGUUCGCCCUACUUCCAGUAAAAAUAAGUAAGGGUAUUCUCGUAAACCCUUUAUUUU
rnacentral:telomerase_RNA from 1 species